rnacentral:lncRNA from 1 species
AAAAAAACGAUCCAACAGUUGAUUCAGCUGGUAACGAAUUUCCGAUAUCUUAAAAGAUUCACAAUACAAAAGGAACUUCCUCUGCUUAAUAAUUGAGCUCCCAAAUAAAUGUGAAAAGUUAAGUUUUUAUUCAAAAUUAUCGAAAGCAAAGUGUCAUAUGUGUUCUCAUACGAAUACUGACCCCCUCAAUACUGAAUAACAGACGGACGGCCACACCAAAAAAAAAAAAAUAAUAAAACAAAUACUGAAACGGUUUACUUUCGAUCAAAAAUCCGAAAAAUGAC